rnacentral:lncRNA from 1 species
GUUGAUGUUAACAUCUUGGUUAGGAGCUCCUCUAAGGUCUGGUUGAUGUUAACAUCUUGGUUAGGAGCUCCUCUAAGGUCUGGUUGAUGUUAACAUCUUGGUUAGGAGCUCCUCUAAGGUGAGGUUGUCUGGUUGCUGUUUGCUCUCCCUGAGCAGGACCACCUCUCCCUCCAGUUUGGUGAACUCAUCCCUCAUGGCAGCCAUGGUGGUGAGGAGGGCCUGAGCCUGCUCUGCACUGAGGGGGUCGCUCUCCUCCUGGGGCAUGUCCUCCACUAUGGUGGGAAGAGAGGUGCUGGAUGUGCCUUUUUGGGUGGGGAUAGUAGGGGUGAGGGUGGUGCUGGUGGAGUUUGUCUUGUGGGAGGACAGUCCCAGUCUUGUAGAGGUUGAUUGUUAUCAUGGUGCUGUCAGGGUCGUCUGUCUCUUUGAUUUUCAGCUUCCACCCAUUACAGAUUCCCUCUUUCUUUAUGGAUGGGUAGUGAGAGCAGACUGCUAAGCGCCAUGCAUUUGGCUGGUCAGUGAGGAAGAUGAGAUUACUCACAUCACCGUUUUUGUAGAGGUCUGCGAAAAGGGUUUCUGGCCUCCCCUUU